rnacentral:piRNA from 1 species
UGAGUAUGGAUUUUAUACCAA